rnacentral:rRNA from 1 species
ACGGGUGAGUAAUAUAUCGGAACGUGCCCAAUCGUGGGGGAUAACGUAUAGAAAUUUACGCUAAUACCGCAGACGAUCUAAGGAUGAAAGCGGGGGAUCGCAAGACCUCGCGCGAUUGGAGCGGCUGAUAUCAGAUUAGGUUGUUGGUGAGGUAAAAGCUCACCAAGCCGACGAUCUGUAGCUGGUUUGAGAGAACGACCAGCCACACUGGGACUGAAACACGGCCCAGACUCCUACGGGAGGCACCAGUGGGGAAUUUUGGACAAUGGGCGAAAGCCUGAUCCAGCAAUGCCGCGUGCAGGAAGAAGGCCUUCGGGUUGUAAACUGCUUUUGUACGGAACGAAACGGCUCUUUCUAAUAAAGAGGGCUAAUGACGGUACCGUAAGAAUAAGCACCGGCUAACUACGUGCCAGCAGCCGCGGUAAUACGUAGGGUGCGAGCGUUAAUCGGAAUUACUGGGCGUAAAGCGUGCGCAGGCGGUUAUAUAAGACAGUUGUGAAAUCCCCGGGCUCAACCUGGGAAUUGCAUCUGUGACUGUAUAGCUAGAGUACGGUAGAGGGGGAUGGAAUUCCGCGUGUAGCAGUGAAAUGC